AACAUGAGCAGCUCAGGACCAAAAACUGGUGGUGUACAAAGUGCGUGAGUCGCUUUGGAAAACCGGACGAGUCUCCUAACUUUUAUUGCCUUCUUUCUUUUGUUGUCAGAACGCCUGGAAAUAAGGAUUCCGCUAAGCCUAAUGAGCAGACUGGAAUAAAAAUGUCCUUGACAACAUCAUCCUGUAAAUGUGUCACCAUCCUUCUCUUGCUAUCAGGUGUUCUGGGUGUUAAAGGUUGGAAAGUUACUUAUGAAAAGCCACACAUCUGUGCCUUGAAAGGAUCAUCAGUGACAAUACCCUGCUCUUACCAGUAUCCCCGUGGUCAUAGAGUAAAUGAAACAUUUUGGAUUAAUAAACGAGAGACAAAUAAAGAUCCUGAGGACCUAAAACAGGACCAACAUUAUCACGAUCGUGUGACAUACCUAGGAGAUAAGUCUGAAGACUGCACCUUCAGAAUUGAAAAUGUUGAAGAGCGUGAUUCAGCAACAUAUUGGUUUAGGUUAGUUACACAUGGAGAAAAAUGGAUCGGUGAGCCUGGAGUGACACUGUCAGUGACAGCUCUACAGGUGGAAAAGAGUCAACCAUCUGCGACGUCCCAAGCGACACUGACCUGUAAAAACAUCUGCUUUCCAAAAGUCCAUAAUGACUAUGUUUGGUUUAGAGAUGGGAAAUAUGUACUCAAUCAGUAUGACAAUGUUUUAGUACCUGAAGAAAAUGGAAUGUAUUCAUGUGCUCUGAGAAGAUCUGAGAAUUUUCAGUCUGCACCAGUUAAGGU